CAGUCGCCGCGGUAAUACGUAGGGUGCAAGCGUUAAUCGGAAUUACUGGGCGUAAAGCGUGCGCAGGCGGUUUGUUAAGACAGAUGUGAAAUCCCCGGGCUCAACCUGGGAACUGCAUUUGUGACUGGCAAGCUAGAGUAUGGCAGAGGGGGGUGGAAUUCCGCGUGUAGCAGUGAAAUGCGUAGAUAUGCGGAGGAACACCGAUGGCGAAGGCAGCCCCCUGGGCCAAUACUGACGCUCAUGCACGAAAGCGUGGGGAGCAAACAGGAUUAGAGACCCCUGUAGUCCCUGUCUCUUAUAC
rnacentral:rRNA from 1 species